rnacentral:misc_RNA from 1 species
GAUGAGAACGUAGCGAAAUGCGAUACUUGGUGUGAAUUGCAGAAUCCCGUGAACCAUCGAGUCUUUGAACGCAAGUUGCGCCCGAAGCCACUAGGCCGAGGGCACGCCUGCCUGGGCGUCACACGUCGUUGCCCCCCCCCAUCUACUCCUUCGGGAUUGCGGGGGGCGGAUGAUGGCCUCCCGUGCGCCUAGCCGCGCGGUUGGCAUAAAUACCAAGUCCUCGGCGACGCACGCCACGACAAUCGGUGGUUGCGAAACCUCGGUUGCCCGUCGUGUGCGUUCGUUGCGCAUCGAGGGCUCGAAAAAAUGCUCGGCUCCGGCUCGGCUUUCAACGCGACCCCAGGUCAGGCGGGGUUACCCGCUGAAUUUAAGCAUAUCAAUAAGCGGAGGA